rnacentral:rRNA from 1 species
UAACUUGGUUCUUAUGGGGGAGCUGCGGAUGGGUCAGUAACGCGUGGGUAACCUGCCCAUAAGCUGGGAUAACUCCGGGAAACCGGGGCUAAUACCGGAUAACAUUUUGAACCGCAUGGUUCGAAAUUGAAAGGCGGCUUCGGCUGUCACUUAUGGAUGGACCCGCGUCGCAUUAGCUAGUUGGUGAGGUAACGGCUCACCAAGGCAACGAUGCGUAGCCGACCUGAGAGGGUGAUCGGCCACACUGGGACUGAGACACGGCCCAGACUCCUACGGGAGGCAGCAGUAGGGAAUCUUCCGCAAUGGACGAAAGUCUGACGGAGCAACGCCGCGUGAGUGAUGAAGGCUUUCGGGUCGUAAAACUCUGUUGUUAGGGAAGAACAAGUGCUAGUUGAAUAAGCUGGCACCUUGACGGUACCUAACCAGAAAGCCACGGCUAACUACGUGCCAGCAGCCGCGGUAAUACGUAGGUGGCAAGCGUUAUCCGGAAUUAUUGGGCGUAAAGCGCGCGCAGGUGGUUUCUUAAGUCUGAUGUGAAAGCCCACGGCUCAACCGUGGAGGGUCAUUGGAAACUGGGAGACUUGAGUGCAGAAGAGGAAAGUGGAAUUCCAUGUGUAGCGGUGAAAUGCGUAGAGAUAUGGAGGAACACCAGUGGCGAAGGCGACUUUCUGGUCUGUAACUGACACUGAGGCGCGAAAGCGUGGGGGAGCAAACAGGAUUAGAUACCCUGGUAGUCCACGCCGUAACGAUGAGUGCUAAGUGUUAGAGGGUUUCCGCCCUUUAUGCUGAGUUAACGCAUAAGCUCUCCGCCUGGGGAGUACGGCCGCAAGGUUGAACU